ACAGCAGCAGCCACGGUAAUACGUAGGUGGCAAGCGUUGUCCGGAAUUAUUGGGCGUAAAGGGCUCGCAGGCGGUUUCUUAAGUCUGAUGUGAAAGCCCCCGGCUCAACCGGGGAGGGUCAUUGGAAACUGGGAAACUUGAGUGCAGAAGAGGAGAGUGGAAUUCCACGUGUAGCGGUGAAAUGCGUAGAGAUGUGGAGGAACACCAGUGGCGAAGGCGACUCUCUGGUCUGUAACUGACGCUGAGGAGCGAAAGCGUGGGGAGCGGACAGGAUUAGAUACCCCGGUAGUCCCUGUCUCUUAUAA
rnacentral:rRNA from 1 species